rnacentral:misc_RNA from 1 species
AAAGUCGUAACAAGGUUUCCGUAGGUGAACCUGCGGAAGGAUCAUUAGUGAAUUGAGCUGGCUUCGGCCGCUCUGAUCUAUACACACCUGUGAACUGUUGGCCUUUGGGUCUUUAAUUACAACUGUGAUGAACGUAAAAUAUUAUAAUCAAUAUAACUUUUAACAACGGAUCUCUUGGCUCUC